rnacentral:rRNA from 1 species
UACGAAGGGGGCUAGCGUUGCUCGGAAUUACUGGGCGUAAAGGGCGCGUAGGCGGAUAUUUAAGUUAGAGGUGAAAGCCCAGGGCUCAACCCUGGAAUAGCCUUUAAUACUGGAUAUCUUGAGUUCGGGAGAGGUGAGUGGAACUCCGAGUGUAGAGGCGAAAUUCGUAGAUAUUCGGAAGAACACCAGUGGCGAAGGCGACUCACUGGCCCGAUACUGACGCUGAGGCGCGAAAGCGUGGGGAGCAAACAGG